AUGCUACUCUCUCCGUUCCAAAUUACUCGUCUCAGGAAUGGAUGUAUCUAGAAUUAAAAUACAUCUAGAUACAUCCAUUUCUGCGACGAGUAAUUCGGAACGAAAAGAGUACAAC
rfam:Triticum urartu cultivar G1812 contig592691, whole genome shotgun sequence.